rnacentral:rRNA from 1 species
AGGCCUUCGGGUUGUAAAGUACUUUCAGUAGGGAGGAAGGCAGUGUCGUUAAUAGCGGCAUUGUUUGACGUUACCUACAGAAGAAGCACCGGCUAACUCCGUGCCAGCAGCCGCGGUAAUACGGAGGGUGCGAGCGUUAAUCGGAAUUACUGGGCGUAAAGCGCAUGCAGGCGGUCUGUUAAGCAAGAUGUGAAAGCCCGGGGCUCAACCUCGGAACAGCAUUUUGAACUGGCAGACUAGAGUCUUGUAGAGGGGGGUAGAAUUUCAGGUGUAGCGGUGAAAUGCGUAGAGAUCUGAAGGAAUACCGGUGGCGAAGGCGGCCCCCUGGACAAAGACUGACGCUCAGAUGCGAAAGCGUGGGGAGCAAACAGGAUUAGAUACCCUGGUAGUCCACGCCGUAAACGAUGUCUACUUGGAGGUUGUGGCCUUGAGCCGUGGCUUUCGGAGCUAACGCGUUAAGUAGACCGCCUGGGGAGUACGGUCGCAAGAUUAAAACUCAAAUGAAUUGACGGGGGCCCGCACAAGCGGUGGAGCAUGUGGUUUAAUUCGAUGCAACGCGAAGAACCUUACCUACUCUUGACAUCCAGAGAACUUUCCAGAGAUGGAUUGGUGCCUUCGGGAACUCUGAGACAGGUGCUGCAUGGCUGUCGUCAGCUCGUG